AGUGUUUUCUCGGUCUCCGAUGAC
rnacentral:siRNA from 1 species